rnacentral:tRNA from 1 species
UAGGGGUUAGCCAAAAUGGACAAAGGCGUUAAGUUUUGAUCUUAAUUAUUAGGGGUUCAAGUCCCUUAUCCCUAA